CAUGACAGUUAGAUUCGGCAUAUCAAAGAAACCCAAUUAUUCAAUUUUGAUGAAAUCAAACAAAGUUUAAUUUUGGACCCUUUGGGCCCCUAUUAUGUUGGGACCAAAACUCCCAAAAUCAAUACCAACCUUCCUUUUAUGGUCAUAAACCUUGUGUUUAAAUUUCAUAGAUUUCUAUUUACUUAUACUAACGUUAUGGUGCGAAAACCAAGAAAAAUGCUUAUUUGGGUCCCUUUUUGGCCCCUAAUUCCUAAACUGUUGGGACCUAAACUCCCAAAAUCAAUACCAACCUUCCUUUUGUAGUCAUUAACAUUGUGUUUAAAUUUCAUUGAUUUCUAUUACUUAAACUAAAGUUAUUGUGCGAAAACCAAGAAUAAUGCUUAUUUGGGCCCUUUUUUGGCCCCUAAUUCCUAAACUGUUGAAACCAACACUCCCAAAAUCAAUCCCAACCGUUCUUUUGUGGUCAUAAACCUUGUGUCAAAAUUUCAUAGAUUUCUAUUCACUUAAACUAAAGUUAUAGUGCGAAAACCAAGAAAAUGCUUAUUUGGGCCCUUUUUGGCCCUUAAUUCCUAAAAUGUUGGGACCAAAACUCCCAAAAUCAAUACCAACCUUCCUUUUGUGGUCAUAAACCUUGUGUUAAAAUUUCAUAGAUUUCCAUUUACUUUUACUAAAGUUAGAGUGCGAAAACUAAAAGUAUUCGGACGCCGGACGACGACGCCGCCGACGACGACGCCGCCGACGACGACGCCGCCGACGCCAACGUGAUAGCAAUAUACGACGAAAAAUUUUUCAAAUUUUGCGGUCGUAUAAAAAUUAAAG
rnacentral:lncRNA from 1 species